rnacentral:ncRNA from 1 species
AGUCUUCAGGGCGGGGUGCAAUUCCCCACUGGCGGUAUAGUCCGCGAACUGCCUCAUGGCAGCCGAACCGGUGAAACUCCGGUACCAACGGUAUAGUCCGGAUGGAAGAAGAUG